rnacentral:rRNA from 1 species
GUGCCAGCCGCCGCGGUAAUACCGGCAGCACGAGUGAUGGCCGAUUUUAUUGGGCCUAAAGCGUCCGUAGCUUGCUGUGUAAGUCCAUUGGGAAAUCCACGCGCUCAACGCGUGGGCGUCCGGUAGAAACUGGCCGGCUUGGAACCGGAAGGCUCAGAGAGUACGUCCGGGGUAGGAGUGAAAUCCCGUAAUCCCGGACGGACUACCGAUGGCGAAAGCACUCUGAGAAGACGGCUUCGACAGUGAGGGACGAAAGCUCGGGUCUCAAAUCGGAUUAGAAACCCGUGUAGUCC